rnacentral:misc_RNA from 1 species
AUAUAACGAAGGUUCCGUGGUCGCGAGAGUUCAUUCUCUCAGUGUUCAAAGUGACAUGAAAGUGAAAAAACUGGUGUACGGUACCGAGUCAUGUAUCAGCAUGCUUUUCACACAACACCAAACCAUAUCGCAAAUGGACAUAAUGUGCCAACUAAAGUCACAUCUAACGGGACAACGUAUUCCAAUGGGGGUCUUGGGGCAGAAGGGCCCGAAACGACAGAGACCGACUCAUCAGGGACCGGGGGGAUGCGGAAGUCGCUGGAGGGGUCGGGCUCAACGCCGAACGACAUUGUUCACCUCAAGAGACGGGUGGGACUCUUCAGUGGGGUGGCUUUAAUUGUCGGAACUAUGAUUGGGUCUGGAAUAUUCGUUUCACCAAGUGGUUUACUAGUUCGAACUGGUUCCGUUGGUGUGAGCUUUUUGAUAUGGCUGGCCUGUGGGAUGUUGUCAUUACUAGGUGCAUUGGCGUACGCUGAAUUGGGCACAAUGAACACAUCGUCGGGGGCCGAAUAUGCAUACUUUAUGGAUGCAUUCGGUGCACCCCCAGCCUUCCUAUUCUCAUGGGUAUCGACAUUGGUACUGAAGCCAUCGCAAAUGGCAAUAAUAUGUUUAUCAUUCGCACAAUACGCGGUUGAAGCGUUCGUAUCGGAAUGUGAUCCGCCCAGUGCGGUGGUGAAAAUGGUUGCACUCGUUGCAAUAGUAAUGAUCCUGUUUGUAAAUUGCUACAGUGUGAAUUUAGGCAUGGCUGUACAAAAUAUAUUCACGGCUGCAAAAUUAGUAGCCGUUUUGAUAGUUAUUUGUGGUGGAGCUUAUAAGCUCUUCCAAGGCAACACACAACAUCUACAGAAUGCAUUUACUGGCCCGACACCUUCAUUGGGUGCUAUCGCGACAGCAUUUUACACUGGCUUGUGGGCCUACGACGGCUGGAACAAUUUGAAUUAUGUAACCGAGGAAAUACGUAAUCCCAGCAAAAACCUUCCGAGGUCAAUUAUAAUCGGUAUCCCGCUCGUUACAUUAUGCUAUGCGUUGAUUAAUGUCUCGUACCUGGCGGCAAUGUCACCCACCGAAAUGGUUGAAUCUGAAGCUGUUGCUGUUACAUUUGGUAAUCGGAUACUGGGAGCUAUGGCAUGGCUGAUGCCAUUGAGUGUCACAAUUAGUACGUUUGGAAGUGCAAAUGGAACUUUGUUUGCAGCUGGAAGGUUAUGCUUUGCAGCAAGUCGUGAAGGACAUCUUCUCGAUAUUUUAUCCUAUGUUCACGUUCGGAGGCUAACGCCCGCUCCUGGUCUCAUAUUCCACUCACUAAUCGCAGCUGCUAUGGUUCUCUAUGGUACAAUCGAUUCACUGAUUGACUUUUUCAGUUUCACGGCAUGGAUUUUCUAUGGUGGAGCCAUGCUUGCACUGCUCGUUAUGAGAUACACAAAACCAAAUUAUCCAAGGCCAUAUAAAGUGCCUAUCAUCAUUCCAGUAUUGGUUUUAGUUAUUUCAUCGUAUCUUGUUGUGGCUCCAAUCAUUGAUAAGCCGCAAAUUGAAUAUCUCUACGCGGUAUUUUUCAUUCUAGCUGGUCUGAUAUUCUACGUUCCGUUCGUGAAACUAGGUCUUACGCCGAAAUUCAUGGGGUCAUGCAAGGGAAUGCAUUUGCGAAUAGUUCUUCUUCGACUUCUUCUUCCUCAAAACCUAGUAUGUGUGUGAAAUGAAAGGAGUAGGACGAGAGAAGAUAUCGCUUAUAUUCCCGGAAUGGCCGCGCCUAGGAUAAUUUCUCACUUGUGAAAGAAAUAGGAGGAGGGAGCUUGGAAUAUGUCUUAAACUCUACUCCUCGAUAUUGUGAGGAACACGCGCAAGGGUUCGAAUGCCUAUCAACAAAUUAGAAAGUCACGCUCUUCUUACAACUGCUCUUGGAAGUUGUGCCAACCUCAACGAUGGCAAUGUUUGACUAGAAGAACACCUUGGACAGGUUACAGUAGCGUAAUGAAAUUAAUAAUCCUCUUUUGCUUGUGAUCUUGAGUGCUCUACCGAUGCAAAAGCAAUGCUAGUAUUUUAAGCAAACAACAAAUUGAGUUUCGGCAAUAAGUUUACAACGAGUUGAAGUUACAAAUUUUGAUGCAGGAAUCGUAGGUGAUUGAAGUGAAUUCAGCUCCUGAAACCGUCUAAAUAGCACCACCAGCAACAAUCGAUGACCAUUCUUGGAAAACUAGAAAAAUCAAUAAGACUUAAACAAUGUGUUGUUAAACUUUUAUUUUAUAAACAAAUGAUUUUUAUAAUUUUAAGCAAGCAAUAACAAGUACUUUUGAAAAAUUUCAACUAGAACGUACUUCAAUAAGAGGACACUGAAUCCCAUUUUAAAAAUAUUCUAGGAUAAAUUCGGUCAAACUCAUUGCGAGCAGAGUCGCUUUGCUCGAAAAAGUCUCAAUACUUUUGGAUACAAACUGAUAAUUUAAAGCCCUAUUGGAUAGCAUUUUAUUAUAAAUAAAAGAAAAAACUAGAAAAAAAAAUAUUUCUAUUGUUUAGACGAAUAUAAGAAAUUUCCCGGUAAGCAAAGCCUCAAACGAUCAUUCACUGUUCGAAUUGAUCCUUUUUGUCUCACUACAUCCCCUUCGAUUGUGCCGAAAUGGAUAUGAACGCUUUGCUAUGAAUAUUAUUAUAUUGUUUCAAGUACAGUUGAAAUUUUUUAUAUUGUUAUAUUUUUUAAUAUGAGAAAAACGUUGAGAAUGAUUUUUGGAAAUUCAACAUAUGAAAAGACUUGUCAAAGACAGUGUCGAUUGUAUUAUUAUCAAUAUUGUAAUGAUAAACUGUUAGAAAUGAUAAGCAAAAAUAAAAUGUUUUAGUUAGCAUAAAAA